rnacentral:lncRNA from 1 species
GACGGAUUCAGGAAUCUAUAAAACGGGGGCCGGAAUAACUAAAUAAUAAAUAUUAAAUAAAUAAUAAUUAUAAUAGUAUUUAAAUAUACUCAAUAAAAAAUAAAAAAUACAUCAUAUUGUUUAUCUAAAUUGUACACGACAUUGCUCUAUAUCAUAAAAUUCAUCAACAACUAAAUUUGUAUUAAAAUUUUUAGCAAUUCUUCUCUCGGUGUAAGUAAUCACAUAACUAGUUUGAAAUUCAUUUUCUAUCUUGUUUCUCAACCUAUUUUUCACAAUCUUCAUAGCAGAAAAUAAUAUCUCACUUGUAGCAAACAAUCAGAACUAACUUAAUUGAAUUUAG